GCCUAGUUAGCUUAGUUGGGUAGUGCGUCUGCCUUGUAAGCGCUAGGCCGCGGGUUUGAUUCCUGCCCGGGGCG
rfam:Asian citrus Psyllid, Diaphorina citri - Florida Strain, whole genome shotgun sequence.